UACGUAGGGUGCAAGCGUUAAUCGGAAUUACUGGGCGUAAAGCGUGCGCAGGCGGUGAUGUAAGACAGUUGUGAAAUCCCCGGGCUCAACCUGGGAACUGCAUUUGUGACUGCAUGGCUGGAGUGCGGCAGAGGGGGAUGGAAUUCCGCGUGUAGCAGUGAAAUGCGUAGAUAUCAGGAAGAACACCCGUGGCUAAGGCGGCUCUCUAGUACGGUACUGACGCUGAGACGCGAAAGCGUGGGGAGCGAACAGG
rnacentral:rRNA from 1 species